AAUUACGGUGACGACUCACUAAAUUCAAGCUCAACAGACCGGAAUGCAGGAACUUUCCUCUUUUCUGAGUUGAUGUUUUUGCGUGUCGAUUACCCCGCUGAACUGAGUAAUU